AACACAUGCAAGUCGAGCGGAAACGAGUUAUCUGAACCUUCGGGGAACGAUAACGGCGUCGAGCGGCGGACGGGUGAGUAAUGCCUAGGAAAUUGCCCUGAUGUGGGGGAUAACCAUUGGAAACGAUGGCUAAUACCGCAUGAUGCCUACGGGCCAAAGAGGGGGACCUUCGGGCCUCUCGCGUCAGGAUAUGCCUAGGUGGGAUUAGCUAGUUGGUGAGGUAAGGGCUCACCAAGGCAACGAUCCCUAGCUGGUCUGAGAGGAUGAUCAGCCACACUGGAACUGAGACACGGUCCAGACUCCUACGGGAGGCAGCAGUUGGGAAUAUUGCACAAUGGGCGCAAGCCUGAUGCAGCCAUGCCGCGUGUAUUAAGAAGGCCUUCGGGUUGUAAAGUACUUUCAGUCGUGAGGAAGGCGGCGUCGUUAAUAGCGGCGUUGUUUGACGUUAGCGACAGAAGAAGCACCGGCUAACUCCGUGCCAGCAGCCGCGGUAAUACGGAGGGUGCGAGCGUUAAUCGGAAUUACUGGGCGUAAAGCGCAUGCAGGUGGUUUGUUAAGUCAGAUGUUAAAGCCCGGGGCUCAACCUCGGAAUAGCAUUUGAAACUGGCAGACUAGAGUCUGUAGAGGGGGGUAAAUUUCAGGUGUAGCGGUGAAAUGCGUAGAGAUCUGAAGGAAUACCAGUGGCGAAGGCGGCCCCCUGGACAGAUACUGACGCUCAGAUGCGAAAGCGUGGGGAGCAAACNGGGUUNGAUACCCUGGNANUCACGCCGUAAAC
rnacentral:rRNA from 1 species